rnacentral:tRNA from 1 species
GGCCCCGUAGCUCAACUGGAUAGAGUACCUGACUACGGAUCAGGAGGUUCCAGGUUCGAACCCUGGCGGGGUCA